AUGUUUUUCUGUUUUCAGGGAAACCCCAAAGCCACGGAGAAAAUCAGGGAAGGUGAAAGAAGAGAAAGAAAAGAAAGAAAUUAAAGUGGAAGUAGAAGUAGAGGUGAAAGAAGAAGAGAAUGAAAUUAGGGAAGAUGAGGAGCCUCCCAGGAAGUAAGUGGGCAGUUUCUACUAACAGUGGAAACCUACCAUUCAAAGCCACUAGUAGAUAGGUAGGUCUGCGUGUGCACACACAUCCACAUAUCCCCAGGCAUGGGGCACUUGCAAGCAGAUGUCUGUAUGUAUGAACAUGAAGUCAACCUAAUCUACGUAGUUAGUUCCAGACUAGCCAGGGCUACAUAAUGAGACCCUCUCUAAAAAACACAAACACACAAAAGACAGAUGAAUAUAAACCCAAAUGAGUAAUAGAGAUAGUAUCUUCAGGGAUACAGAGAAAACCAGAAAAAUUAUCUCAAGUGUGUGUGUUCUCAAAAACCAAUAAUGUCUUUAGCCAUCUAUAUCUCUAUGAGCUUUCAUCUAGAAUAGUUAACUAUUCUUUCUUAAAUUACAGGAGAGGGAGAAGGCGAAAAGAUGACAAAAGUCCGCGGUUACCCAAAAGGAGGUGAGUGAGGCAUUUCUGCUUCUUAUGUCUGGUGCUAGGCAUUUAAUUGAUUUUCAUAAACAGAGGGGGUGUGGCUUCUUUAAAUUUUACAAAUGUGGGGUUACCUAGUUCCAUGAUGCACAGGUGGUGUGUUUUCAUUUUCAUUGCAUGAUGCUGAGUUGUCUGAAAUCCUUAGUGCUUUUUACCUCUUAGUAGCUUGCUAAUUCAUGUUUUUAAACCAGCAAACAUUUGGCAGUUUGAUUACUUAUGUACAAAUUUUGUGAAACCUAUUACCUUUUAUCACACUAUAUAUAGAAUACCACUUCUGUUACUAACUUUUUCUGACAUUCUGGCAUUAGAAAAAAGCCUCCAAUCCAAUAUGUCCGUUGUGAGAUGGAAGGAUGUGGAACUGUUCUUGCUCACCCUCGCUAUUUGCAGGUCAGUAAAAUACAAGACAGUCUUUAUACAGUGUCCAUUACUUGUCUUCUAAGAUGUCAUUUUGUGUGGGAUUUGUAAACACUGACAUAAAAUAAAAAGAAAAAUGUUCCUAAAUAUAAAAUAACAUAAGUUGUCUUUAUUUGACCUGUACUGCUUUAAUAGAAUACCAGAGGCUAGCAAUUUAAAGGAGAAAUUUAUUGGCUUUUGAUUCUGAGUUCCUUACAAGUCUUAAGAAUGUGGUACCAGUGUCUGGAAAAGGGUUUCUCAGUGUGCGAGACUGGAGAACAAGAAGGAAGCAUGAGGAGAAAAUAAGGAACUGAGUUCAGUUUGUUAAAAGCUUUAAUCCGUCUGUGGGGACAGACACUUAAAUAUAUCUCAACAUUAUUACAUUGAAAACGUUGGAGGAUACAUUUAAACCUUAGCACAUUCUAUUAAAUAAUAGUAAUAAUAAAGGACUGAAAAACUUGAACCCAAGUACAAGAUUUUUUUAGAUUCUUACAAUGUUACAAUAUUUCCCAAAAUGGAAUAGCAGAUUAUUGUAACAAUACACGCAGAUACAGAAUAGCAGAUUUUAGCUUGAAUAUAUGUUACCAUAAAAUGAUUAUAGCAUUCCAACUAGUAAUUUCGUAGAGAUAGUACCAAAUGGAUGGUUUUAUUUUUCUUUUGAUUUUUUUUUUUUCCCCUCCUGAUUGUGUACAAGUCUGGUAUAAAAUGGGGAUGUGAAAUAGUGAAAUGUUGCUUAGGAAAUGCCUGUUAAUCUUUACAAGCAAGUAUAAGACUUUUGGAUUAUGAUUCUAUUAUAGUAAUUGUAGCUACUGUUUUUUGUUUGGGGCAUGUGAUGUGCCAUUUGGCAUACUCAUUGAUGUGUUUUUAUUUUACAAAUGAAAACUAGAACUUUGAAAUGUGUAAGUACAUCCAAGAUGACAUUGCUAGUGAGUGACAGGUGCAGGUUAAAUUUUUUUUCUUCUACUUUUCCUUUAUUUAGCUCAAUAAAUAAAUAAAAAUAAGCAGGUAGAGAACUUACUUUUUUUUUUCUUUUCCUUUCCUUCUGCUAUUUUAGCACCACAUUAAAUACCAGCAUUUGCUG
rnacentral:lncRNA from 1 species